rnacentral:rRNA from 1 species
GCAUGCAGGUGGUUUGUUAAGUCAGAUGUGAAAGCCCGGGGCUCAACCUCGGAACUGCAUUUGAAACUGGCAAACUAGAGUACUGUAGAGGGGGGUAGAAUUUCAGGUGUAGCGGUGAAAUGCGUAGAGAUCUGAAGGAAUACCAGUGGCGAAGGCGGCCCCCUGGACAGAUACUGACACUCAGAUGCGAAAGCGUGGGGAGCAAACAGGAUUAGAUACCCUGGUAGUCCACGCCGUAAACGAUGUCUACUUGGAGGUUGUGGCCUUGAGCCGUGGCUUUCGGAGCUAACGCGUUAAGUAGACCGCCUGGGGAGUACGGUCGCAAGAUUAAAACUCAAAUGAAUUGACGGGGGCCCGCACAAGCGGUGGAGCAUGUGGUUUAAUUCGAUGCAACGCGAAGAACCUUACCUACUCUUGACAUCCAGAGAACUUNNCAGAGAUGNNUUGGUGCCUUCGGGAACUCUGAGACAGGUGCUGCAUGGCUGUCGUCAGCUCGUGUUGUGAAAUGUUGGGUUAAGUCCCGCAACGAGCGCAACCCUUAUCCUUGUUUGCCAGCGAGUAAUGUCGGGAACUCCAGGGAGACUGCCGGUGAUAAACCGGAGGAAGGUGGGGACGACGUCAAGUCAUCAUGGCCCUUACGAGUAGGGCUACACACGUGCUACAAUGGCGCAUACAGAGGGCRGCCAACUCGCGAGAGUGAGCGAAUCCCAAAAAGUGCGUCGUAGUCCGGAUUGGAGUCUGCAACUCGACUCCAUGAAGUCGGAAUCGCUAGUAAUCGUAGAUCAGAAUGCUACGGUGAAUACGUUCCCGGGCCUUGUACACACCGCCCGUCACACCAUGGGAGUGGGCUGCAAAAGAAGUGGGUAGUUUAACCUUCGGGAGGACGCUCACCACU